rnacentral:rRNA from 1 species
CCGAGCCCUUGAAUCCCAAACACCACAUGUGAACCCACCGUAGGCCUUCGGGCCUAUGUCUUAUCAUAUAAUCUGAAUGUCUAAUAGAAUGUAAACCCAUUUCGUUGCCUUGAAAACGUAACGAAAGAAAACUAUACAACUUUCAACAACGGAUCUCUUGGCUCUCGCAUCGAUGAAGAACGCAGCGAAAUGCGAUAAGUAAUGUGAAUUGCAGAUUUUCAGUGAAUCAUCGAAUCUUUGAACGCACCUUGCGCCCCUUGGUAUUCCGAGGGGCAUGCCUGUUUGAGUGUCAUUAAAUCCUCAACCCCUCCGAUUCGUUUCGGUGGGGAUUGGACUUGGAGCGUGCUGGCGAAGGUCGGCUCCUCUUUAAAUGCAUCAGCGGAGAAAAUGCCUUUUGCGCCUCUGGCCGUUCAGCGUGAUAAUGAUGUUGCGCUGCGGUCGAGCUUAAGGUCCGCUUCCAAAGGUCCUCGGACAAAUAUACAUAUGACUUUUGACCUCAAAUCACGUAGGACUACCCGCUGAACCUUAAGC